UACGGAGGGUGCAAGCGUUAAUCGGAAUUACUGGGCGUAAAGCGAGUGUAGGCGGCUAUAUAAGUCGAAUGUGAAAGCCCCGGGCUUAACCUGGGAAUUGCAUCCGAUACUGUAUAGCUAGAGUCUGACAGAGGGAUGUGGAAUUCCGGGUGUAGCGGUGAAAUGCGUAGAUAUCCGGAGGAACACCAGUGGCGAAGGCGGCAUCCUGGGUCAAGACUGACGCUGAGGCUCGAAAGCGUGGGGAGCAAACAGG
rnacentral:rRNA from 1 species